rnacentral:rRNA from 1 species
CGCGUGAGUGAAGAAGGGUUUCGGCUCGUAAAGCUCUGUUGGUAGUGAAGAAAGAUAGAGGUAGUAACUGGCCUUUAUUUGACGGUAAUUACUUAGAAAGUCACGGCUAACUACGUGCCAGCAGCCGCGGUAAUACGUAGGUGGCAAGCGUUGUCCGGAUUCAUUGGGCGUAAAGCGAGUGCAGGCGGUUCAAUAAGUCUGAUGUGAAAGCCUUCGGCUCAACCGGAGAAUUGCAUCAGAAACUGUUGAACUUGAGUGCAGAAGAGGAGAGUGGAACUCCAUGUGUAGCGGUGGAAUGCGUAGAUAUAUGGAAGAACACCAGUGGCGAAGGCGGCUCUCUGGUCUGCAACUGACGCUGAGGCACGAAAGCAUGGGUAGCGAACAGGAUUAGAUACCCUGGUAGUCCAUGCCGUAAACGAUGAGUGCUAAGUGUUGGGAGGUUUCCGCCUCUCAGUGCUGCAGCUAACGCAUUAAGCACUCCGCCUGGGGAGUACGACCGCAAGGUUGAAACUCAAAGGAAUUGACGGGGGCCCGCACAAGCGGUGGAGC